rnacentral:rRNA from 1 species
UACGAAGGGGGCUAGCGUUGCUCGGAAUCACUGGGCGUAAAGCGCACGUAGGCGGCUUUCUAAGUCAGGGGUGAAAUCCUGGAGCUCAACUCCAGAACUGCCUUUGAUACUGGAGAGCUCGAGUUCGGGAGAGGUGAGUGGAACUGCGAGUGUAGAGGUGAAAUUCGUAGAUAUUCGCAAGAACACCAGUGGCGAAGGCGGCUCACUGGCCCGAUACUGACGCUGAGGUGCGAAAGCGUGGGGAGCAAACAGG